rnacentral:rRNA from 1 species
AACGAACGCUGGCGGCAGGCUUAACACAUGCAAGUCGAACGCCCCACAAGGGGAGUGGCAGACGGGUGAGUAACGCGUGGGAACAUACCCUUUCCUGCGGAAUAGCUCUGGGAAACUGGAAUUAAUACCGUAUGAGCCCGCAAGGGGAAAGAUUUAUCGCCAUUGGAUGAACCCGCGUCGGAUUAGCUAGUUGGUGUGGUAAAGGCGCACCAAGGCGACGAUCCGUAGCUGGUCCGAGAGGAUGAUCAGCCACACUGGGACUGAGACACGGCCCAGACUCCUACGGGAGGCAGCAGUGGGGAAUAUUGGACAAUGGGCGCAAGCCUGAUCCAGCCAUGCCGCGUGAGUGAUGAAGGCCUUAGGGUUGUAAAGCUCUUUCGCCGACGAAGAUAAUGACGGUAGUCGGAGAAGAAGCCCCGGCUAACUUCGUGCCAGCAGCCGCCGUAAAAC